GCACCAGUAGCUCAGUGGAUAGAGCAACGGCCUCCGGAGCCGUGUGCGGAGGUUCGAUUCCUCUCUGGUGCG
rnacentral:tRNA from 1 species